GACGAACGCUGGCGGCGUGCUUAACACAUGCAAGUCGAACGAAGAGCGAUGGAAGCUUGCUUCUAUCAAUCUUAGUGGCGCACGGGUGAGUAACGCGUAAUCAACCUCCCCUUCAGAGGGGGACAACAGUGGGAAAGGACUGCUAAUACCGCAUACGAUCUAACCUCGGCAUCGAGGAUAGAUAAAAGGUGGCCCCUACAUGUAAGCAUUCACUGAAGGCGGGGUUUGCGUCUGAUUAGCUAGUUGGAGGGGUAACGGCCCACCAAGGCGAUGAUCAGUAGCCGGCCUGAGAGGAGGAACGGCCACAUUGGGACUGAGACACGGCCCAGACUCCUACGGGAGGCAGCAGUGGGGAAUCUUCCGCAAUGGACGAAAGUCUGACGGAGCAACGCCGCGUGAGUGAUGACGGCCGUCGGGUUGUAAAGCUCUGUUAAUCGGGACGAAAGGCCUUCUUGCGAAUAGUGAGAAGGAUUGACGGUACCGGAAGAGAAAGCCACGGCUAACUACGUG
rnacentral:rRNA from 1 species